rnacentral:rRNA from 1 species
ACCCGCUGAACUUAAGCAUAUCAAUAAGCGGAGGAAAAGAAACCAACAGGGAUUGCCCUAGUAACGGCGAGUGAAGCGGCAACAGCUCAAAUUUGAAAUCUGGCGUCUUUGGCGUCCGAGUUGUAAUUUGCAGAGGGCGCUUUGGCAUUGGCAGCGGUCCAAGUUCCUUGGAACAGGACGUCACAGAGGGUGAGAAUCCCGUACGUGGUCGCUAGCCUUUACCGUGUAAAGCCCCUUCGACGAGUCGAGUUGUUUGGGAAUGCAGCUCUAAAUGGGAGGUAAAUUUCUUCUAAAGCUAAAUACUGGCCAGAGACCGAUAGCGCACAAGUAGAGUGAUCGAAAGAUGAAAAGCACUUUGGAAAGAGAGUUAAAAAGCACGUGAAAUUGUUGAAAGGGAAGCGCUUGCAGCCAGACUUGCCUGUAGUUGCCCAUCCGGGUUUUUACCCGGUGCACUCUUCUAUAGGCAGGCCAGCAUCAGUUUGGGCGGUUGGAUAAAGGUCUCUGUCAUGUACCUCUCUUCGGGGAGAACUUAUAGGGGAGACGACAUGCAACCAGCCCGGACUGAGGUCCGCGCAUCUGCUAGGAUGCUGGCGUAAUGGCUGU